AUUUUCCAAAACAGCCCAGCACUGUACCACGCACACAAGUACUUGUAAGCUUUAAAGCAAGAAUGAAGGUAGAAAAGAAUGCAAUUCAUGUUGUAUCAUCGGUUUCAGUACAUUAAUAAUUUAAUAUUACACAAUAAAUUCCAAGAAUCAGUGAACAGUUUAUGUUUAGGGGACAAAAAACAAUUUACUUUUAGAUUAAGAUCAAUUAGAGCAGCAUCACGCAAUCAGUUACACAACAAGAGGGCUAACCCAUUCCAUAAAGUCAAUUUCUCAUCCCAUUGUUUUGAACCAGUCUCCAGAGACCUCCAGUUGAAAUUCCAAGUUUUAACAACCAGACAAUCCUCAUUGAUAAGAAGAAAAUUAUUUUAAUCAGAAAUGAGCUAUAUAUAUAUAUGUGUGUGUGUG
rnacentral:misc_RNA from 1 species